rnacentral:lncRNA from 1 species
GUAACUUCACUGAGAUCAUGCAUGCUCCUUAUAAGCUAGGGAUUAAAGUUCUUAGGAUUAACUGUAUCAUCGAGCCGCGAGACGCCGCUUUUACUAUUAUAAUAACUUCAACUCUUCUCUUCAAAUAAUGCAAUCCAAGGAUUAUUUUGACAUAUAGAUGUUGAUGUCCCAAGCUGAAUUUCAAGAUACUCGUGGCAGGAAUUUCCCCCAUAAGUGUUGUGGUUUAAUUCGCUAUACUGUUAGAAUUUCGCGAGGAAGGCGUCUGUCGCCGCCUCACCGGGGUGGUGCUGAGUCAACUAAAAGUCUGAGGCACUAAUAUGUGUGCAUUACCUACUGCUGUAUAUUUUUCAGUCAUGCACUCUGUUCUCUUAAUGAUUAACUGUGAACGAAAUGGAUCAGGGCAAUAAUGCUCAUGUGCUAGAACAGAACUCUAGAAACUUGAAUGGAAAGAAGCUUUAAAGCAGGGUAUUACUGAUAAAUUAUGUUGCAUAUUGUUAUUAUAAGUCGUAUAGGUUGCCAAAGUGAUGGCAUAAGGUCACGGUCUCUUAAAAUGUGCUUAACCUGAUUAUCUCAUCACUUGAUUGAUAUGAACAAAUGGUAAAUUCUGUAGCUUUUAAUAAUGGUGGUGCAGGCUGCAGGCUAAAAUUGAGCAUGUUAAUGUAUCAGGGAAGACUGCAUUCUGAGAUCAAUCGACAUGUUAAUCUGGAAUAAAAGAAAAUAGCACUAAGCUUCUCAACAUGGACAUUCUCGACAGCUAGGUAAUUAUAUAAAAUAUCCUUAUCUAUAUCUACUGAAGUUUAUGUAUGUAUGUGCAAUUUAUCCAUUACUUUACAUCCUUGGUCCUCAUGGUGCUGCCACUGAAGUACAGUAGAUCAUAUGCAUUUUACUGAAGUCGGAGUAAUGCCAGUUCUCCACUCAGCGCAAUGUCCCUGUGAAACGUAUAUGAUUCUACUCUUCAUUGAUGCAACUGAUGUACUGCCACACAAGGACAAAUACUUUAGUUGUGUACUAUAGGAAAAACAUGAUUCUUCCAUCCUGAGACUGGGUGAGGUGUUUGUUUUGGAACUUUGUACGUAAUCCAUUAACAGCGGUAUCAAAUGACGCUGAAUCUUGUUUGGUUAGUUUUGGCUGUAAUCACAAACCAUGGGAUCAGCUACCGAUCAAAAUCGUGUCGUAACAGAAACCGGAGCUGCCCUCUCGCGUCCAUUCUAAAACUGUUACCACGUCUUCCUUAUCC